rnacentral:rRNA from 1 species
GAUGAACGCUGGCGGCGUGCUUAACACAUGCAAGUCGAACGGAAAGGCUCCUGCUUGCAGGGGUACUCGAGUGGCGAACGGGUGAGUAACACGUGGGUGAUCUGCCCUGCACUUCGGGAUAAGCCUGGGAAACUGGGUCUAAUACCGGAUAGGACCACAUUUUGGGUGGUGUGGUGGAAAGUUUUUCGGUGUGGGAUGAGCUCGCGGCCUAUCAGCUUGUUGGUGGGGUAAUGGCCUACCAAGGCGUCGACGGGUAGCCGGCCUGUGAGGGUGUACGGCCACAUUGGGACUGAGAGACGGCCCAGACUCCUACGGGAGGCAGCAGUGGGGAAUAUUGCACAAUGGGCGCAAGCCUGAUGCAGCGACGCCGCGUGGGGGAUGACGGCCUUCGGGUUGUAAACUCCUUUCGCUAGGGACGAAGCGUUUUUGUGACGGUACCUGGAGAAGAAGCACCGGCUAACUACGUG